CGUUUACUAGUCCUUUGUGACCGUUUAUUCUCCAAGACAUGGGAGUCAUCAAGGUGCCAGUCCUGCUAUGCAUGCUACUGCUCGCUACACUUCUCUUUGUUCCUGGAUUGGAAGCCAAGACCUGCAAAGAACAUAGCAAGACCUAUCGUUAUAAGUUUGCAUGCUAUACAGAUUCAUGUCUUGAGACCUGCCGCAAGGAGGGCUUUACUGAAGGGGAGUGUGUCGUGGUCAACAAAUAUCCAGUUAUAAUCUAUUGUUACUGCACCAAAGAAUGUUGAAUAAAAACAUGUUACAACUGCUGUAGGAUUUUUGAUGUAAUAAAUAAUGUGGCUCAGUAGUAUACUGAGUUGACCAUGACCAAUAUCAUAAGUUGAGGCUUUACCAAAUACUACUAUAUCAUGAUGGCAGGCUCUGCCGUGCUAGUUGUUGAUCA